UUUGCAUAAAAAUCCGCAUGACUGACUCUAUUUUUCCAUUUUUAUCCAUGUAUUUUAGAAUAAUGUAGACAGCUGAAGAGGUUCAUCUCCAAGAGAGAAUACAUAACCAUCAUGAGUGAGGAAAAAAAUCAAUGAAAAUAUUCAUAAUACAGAUGCCAUUCUUUCUGUUGGAACUGCAACCAUG
rnacentral:lncRNA from 1 species